rnacentral:rRNA from 1 species
UACGAAGGGUGCAAGCGUUACUCGGAAUUACUGGGCGUAAAGCGUGCGUAGGCGGUUUGUUAAGUCCGCUGUGAAAGCCCUGGGCUCAACCUGGGAAUUGCAGUGGAUACUGGCAAGCUAGAGUGCGGUAGAGGAUGGUGGAAUUCCCGGUGUAGCGGUGAAAUGCGUAGAGAUCGGGAGGAACACCCGUGGCGAAGGCGGCAAACUGGAUAGGCACUGACACUCAACAACGAAAGCGUGGGGAGCAAACAGG